CUCAACCUUUCCUCUCCACACAUCUCUCGGGCAGGUUGCUGGAAGGAGGUGGCCUUUCUCCAUGGUUCUCCACUGGUUCCUUGUGGCCAUCCUGGCCCCUGUGGGCCAGGCCCUUCAGCAAUCGCCAGACACAGUUGUCCGAGUGGGAGACUCUGUGACUCUCAACUGUUCCCAAAAGGGAAAAGUAAUCUACACCAUGUACUGGUACAAGCUGCCCAUGGGGAAGGAUGCCACUCUGCAGCUGGUUGUACGCUCAGUGGAAGGUGGCGUGGCAGAGUUUGAGAAGGAAUUCAGAAACCACUUCCAGAGUAAUGGGACUAAGGGCAACCGCUUAUCUGUGAAGAUAGCUCAUGCCCUACUCAAUGACUCAGGCACAUAUUUCUGUGCUGAGCAAGACCCACAGUGAUGCAAAAGCUGGAGCAGCAUAGCACAAACCUUUCCAUGCAAACAGGGAUCUGCCGCCAGCACACACACAGAGCCCUGCAUUUGACAGCACCCCAUUUUCUCCCCGUGCCCUCCAGCUCUGCCUACUUAAGGAAAGUGGUGGUAUCAUCUGUCUGUCUUCUACCUGGUCUCCAAUUUCCUUCCUGUUCUUUCUCAUCUCUGAAUCACCUUUUGACCCUCCUUUCUUCUUUUACUCACUGCCUUGCCUCAUUUCUCUGCCAUCCAUAGACUGCCUCUCCCUUUCCUCCUCUA